rnacentral:lncRNA from 1 species
AAAUGAGUUUGAUGAGUUGUGUUGAUUUUACCUUGAAUAAGGGUUUCUGAAAAAAAAAGUGUGUGUAAUUAGAUUGCACUAAAGUCUAUGGGCGGAGGUGAAUAUUUUAGACAAACAAGUCAAACGUCUUGUGUCCAAAAUAAUCAGAGUAAGGGUAUGAAAGUUCAAUUCUUACUCAUUCUCAACCACUUAAGGCCCGUGGCGCACAAUGCUAAUCAUAGUUUUAUUGUAUUUUUGAAUUUGAUUAUGAAAAUGUCACUUAACGUUGAAUCAAUGGUUGGUUUAUUUGAUUGUGAAAUUGGUGAUGUAAUUGAUAUAAAAAGUAACCAAACAAGAAAGAAAAUUGUCUCAUUGUAAGAUAGGCCCAAGAGAAAGCCUUGUGUUUGCAAAAGUGAUCUAAGCUAACAAAGGAUAAUGGUC